AACGAACGCUGGCGGCAGGCUUAACACAUGCAAGUCGAGCGCCCCGCAAGGGGAGCGGCAGACGGGUGAGUAACGCGUGGGAAUCUACCCAUCUCUACGGAAUAACGCAUGGAAACGUGUGCUAAUACCGUAUACGUCCUUCGGGAGAAAGAUUUAUCGGAGAUGGAUGAGCCCGCGUUGGAUUAGCUAGUUGGUGGGGUAACGGCCUACCAAGGCGACGAUCCAUAGCUGGUCUGAGAGGAUGAUCAGCCACACUGGGACUGAGACACGGCCCAGACUCCUACGGGAGGCAGCAGUGGGGAAUAUUGGACAAUGGGCGCAAGCCUGAUCCAGCCAUGCCGCGUGAGUGAUGAAGGCCCUAGGGUGUAAAGCUCUUUCACCGGUGAAGAUAAUAACGGUAACCGGAGAAGAAGCCCCGGCUAACUUCGUGCCAGCCGCCGCGGUAACAC
rnacentral:rRNA from 1 species